GACGAACGCUGGCGGCGUGCCUAAUACAUGCAAGUCGAACGAGAGCAACCGGUGCUUGCACUGGUCAAUCUAGUGGCGAACGGGUGAGUAACACGUGGGUAACCUGCCCAUCAGAGGGGGAUAACAUCCGGAAACGGAUGCUAAAACCGCAUAGGUCUUCGAACCGCAUGGUUUGAAGAGGAAAAGAGGCGCAAGCUUCUGCUGAUGGAUGGACCCGCGGUGCAUUAGCUAGUUGGUGAGGUAACGGCUCACCAAGGCCGUGAUGCAUAGCCGACCUGAGAGGGUGAUCGGCCACAUUGGGACUGAGACACGGCCCAAACUCCUACGGGAGGCAGCAGUAGGGAAUCUUCCGCAAUGGACGCAAGUCUGACGGAGCAACGCCGCGUGAGUGAAGAAGGUUUUCGGAUCGUAAAACUCUGUUGUUAGAGAAGAACAAGUGCUAGAGUAACUGUUAGCGCCUUGACGGUAUCUAACCAGAAAGCCACGGCUAACUACGU
rnacentral:rRNA from 1 species